rnacentral:rRNA from 1 species
UACGGAGGGUGCAAGCGUUAUCCGGAUUUAUUGGGUUUAAAGGGUCCGUAGGCGGAUCUGUAAGUCAGUGGUGAAAUCUCACAGCUUAACUGUGAAACUGCCAUUGAUACUGCAGGUCUUGAGUGUUAUUGGAGUAGCUGGAAUAAGUAGUGUAGCGGUGAAAUGCAUAGAUAUUACUUAGAACACCAAUUGCGAAGGCAGGUUACUAAGCAACAACUGACGCUGAUGGACGAAAGCGUGGGGAGCGAACAGG